rnacentral:rRNA from 1 species
GACGAACGCUGGCGGCGUGCUUAACACAUGCAAGUCGAACGGGAAGGCCCUUCGGGGUACACGAGUGGCGAACGGGUGAGUAACACGUGGGUGAUCUGCCCUGCACUUCUGGAUAAGCCUGGGAAACUGGGUCUACUACCGGCUAGGACCACUGACUGCAUGGGUGGGGGGGGAAAGAUUUUGGGGGGUGGGGUGGGCACGCGGCCAAUCAGCUUGUUGGUGGGGUGAUGGCCUACCAAGGCGACGACGGGUAGCCGGGCUGUGAGGGUGACCGGCCACACUGGGACUGAGGUACGGCCCAGACUCCUACGGGAGGCAGCAGUGGGGAAUAUUGCACAAUGGGCGCAAGCCUGAUGCAGCGACGCCGCGUGAGGGAUGACGGCCUUCGGGUUGUAAACCUCUUUCAGCACCGACGAAGCGCAAGUGACGGUAGGUGCAGAAGAAGGACCGGCCAACUACGUGCCAGCAGCCGCCGUAAAAC